rnacentral:misc_RNA from 1 species
AACUUUCAGCAAUGGAUCACUUGGCUCUCGCAUCGAUAAAGAACGCAGCGAAAUGCGAUACGUAAUGUGAAUUGCAGAAUUCAGUGAAUCAUCGAAUCUUUGAACGCACCGUGCGCCCGUUGGUAUUCCGAGGGGCACACCCGUUUGGGUGUCGUGAAUACUCUCAACCUUGUUGGUUUCUUUGAUCACGAAGGCUUGGACUUUGGAGGUUUUUCUUGCUGGCCUCUUUAGAAGCCAGCUCCUCCUAAAUGAAUGGGUGGGGUCCGCUUUGCUGAUCCUCGACGUGAUAAGCAUUUCUUCUACGUCUCAGUGUCAGCUCGGAACCCGCUUUCCAACCGUCUUUGGACAAAGACAAUGUUCGAGUUGCGACUCGACCUUACAAACCUUGACCUCAAAUCGGGUGAGACUACCCGCUGAACUUAAGCAUAUCAAUAAGCGGAGGCU